ACCACCCGAACGCGUCAAGAACUUCUCACCAUAGAAGCGCAGCACAUAUUUUAGUCUUGAUUAGUAUAUAGGAAAAAGUAAAAAUUUAUCUAAAUCGAUAUGGAUUCAAGUCAAUCAAUAUUUAAAAUUAAUGAUUUGUUCGACAAUUACGACGACAUUAAAGAAAAAAUGGAAUUAUAUUCGGCAACUACGCACUAUAAAUUUUCGACAGCGAAUAGUAAAACGCUUAAGUCUUUAAAAAAUAUUCGCCAAGACUUUAAUGUGCGUUUAAUUUAUGAUGAAAAGUACUACAGGCGCAGCGUUAAUCCUAAACCGUCAGUUUUGAAACAAUUUAAAAAAGAAAAUCCUAGAUUAAAAGUAGUACUCUGUCCAGCGGCUAUAGCUUUUAGAACGACACAAGAUAAGAGACAUCUAAAAGUCACCCAAUUUAUACCGAAUCACGAUCAUGAUCCGUUUGAUCCACCACGACUUGAAAAAUAUAAAAAUGAAGUGGUUGGGAACAUUAUUCAACAUAAUGAAGUUAUGAGUCGUGAAAAUAAUAUCUGAUGAUAAGGACGGGCAGGUUAUUAACAAAUAAGAUAUUAGUAUUCGUGGUUAUUACGUUAAGUAUAUUACAGGUAUAUUACAAUGAAUAUAGAUACAAGAUACACGUCCGUUUAGGAUGUUGUACUGGUUGAAGUCUCGUCCCCUCAGCCACAAGCUGCUGGUGGAUCGGAUGAUAAUAUAAAUAUUAUUACCGAUUCGCCUAUCGAUUUUGAUGAAGAAUUCAGUGUUUUGUUGUCAAAACUUGAAAUCAAUAUUAAGUCCACGAUUAAUAAAAACGAUCAGAAAAAUAAACUUCUUCAACUCAUCAAAAUGUUGACAUGUUUCGAGACUGAUAAAAAUGAUUAUGUUAACCAAACACUGAAUUAUGGAACUAUACAAUCGAAAGUUGGAUCGCUCUCGAUAUACACAAGUCGGUCUCGUGGACGUGGUAGAGGUCGAAAAAACCGUGUUAUUGGCCUUACCGGAACUCAAACAGGCGAAAAUAGUAAAACAUUUGAAGGAUUAAGUGAUGCUUUAAAAAAAAUAUACAUUUUAAAAUUAAUGUUUACAGAUAAAAAUGUUAUUGACAGAGUUGUUGUUAAUAAAGAAAAAAUCAGAAUGAUAGAUUCAAACCAUCUAAAAUCGGAAAAUAUUCCGGAUGCUUUGGCAAGUGAAAUGAUAGAAGCAGAUAUCGUCAAAAAGCUUUUUUGAAACGAAUGCAUUCAAUCAUUUUAAAAAAAUAAUUGACACAAAACGCCAAAGUCUUGAGUGGACGUGUAAAAUGUGCAAAAGUGAGUUGGGGACUGGCAAUAGCAUAGAAAGCGAUAAAUGUUUGUUCUGGAGUCAUUGGACAUGUGCCAACUUGAUGGAUGAACCAGAAAAUCAUUGGUUUUGUGCAAGUUGCCAAAAGAGUUUAUAAAUUUAUAUAGUAUAAUUUUCAUUAUUAAUUACUUAUGUAUUACUUACGAAAUAUUAUAUCAUUAACAUUCUUUUUUUUUUUUCAAAUAUAAAAUUAUUAUUUAGAUCAUAAUUUAAAUGAUUAUUAAA